rnacentral:rRNA from 1 species
GAACGCUGGCUACAGGCUUAACACAUGCAAGUCGUGGGGAAACGGCAUUAUGUGCUUGCACAUUCUGGACGUCGACCGGCGCACGGGUGAGUAUCGCGUAUCCAACCUGCCCCUUACUUGGGGAUACCCCGUUGAAAGACGGCCUAAUACCCGAUGUGUUUCAUUGACGGCAUCCGAUAUGAAACAAAGGUUUUCCGGUAAGGGAUGGGGAUGCGUCUGAUUAGCUUGUUGGCGGGGCAACGGCCCACCAAGGCGACGAUCAGUAGGGGUUCUGAGAGGAAGGUCCCCCACAUUGGAACUGAGACACGGUCCAAACUCCUACGGGAGGCAGCAGUGAGGAAUAUUGGUCAAUGGACGCAAGUCUGAACCAGCCAAGUAGCGUGCAGGAUGACGGCCCUAUGGGUUGUAAACUGCUUUUAUGUGGGAAUAAAGUGGCGCACGUGUGCGCCAUUGCAUGUACCUCAUGAAUAAGGACCGGCUAAUUCCGUGCCAGCAGCCGCGGUAAUACGGAAGGUCCGGGCGUUAUCCGGAUUUAUUGGGUUUAAAGGGAGUGUAGGCGGUCUGUUAAGCGUGUUGUGAAAUUUAGGUGCUCAACAUUUAACUUGCAGCGCGAACUGUCAGACUUGAGUACACGCAGCGCAGGCGGAAUUCAUGGUGUAGCGGUGAAAUGCUUAGAUAUCAUGAGGAACUCCGAUCGCGAAGGCAGCCUGCGGGAGUGUUACUGACGCUUAAGCUCGAAGGUGCGGGUAUCGAACAGGAUUAGAUACCCUGGUAGUCCGCACAGUAAACGAUGGAUGCCCGCCGUUGGCGCCCUGCGCCUGCGGCCAAGCGAAAGCAUUAAGCAUCCCACCU